AUGCUGUCACUCUUCCCAGCAUUACCUCUGGUAGUUCUUGGCAUGUUGUGUGUGCAUGGUGCAGGUCAUCGAGAGCACCCUCAACUUCCCGUACUAAAGAGCUGUCAAAAACACCCAACCUGGAAUGUGGCAUGUGGUGUAACAAUUUCUACGACGUCCAUAUACUGGUAUCAAGAAAGCCCUGGUCAAGCCGUGCAGCACCUGCUGCACAUUUCAUCUGACAACACCGUCACAAUGGAGGCAGGCAUUCCGCUGGAUAGAAGCCUUCCUGAAGACGUUUCCCCCAAGCCUACCGUUUUUCUUCCUUCAAUUGCUGAAAUAAACCUCCAUAAUGCUGGAACAUAUCUUUGUCUUCUUGAGAAUUUCUUCCCAGAUGUUAUAAGGGUAUAUUGGAAAGAAAAGAACGGCAAUACAAUUCUGGAAUCCCAGCAGGGAAGAACCAUGAAGACUCAUAACACAUACAUGAAAUUCAGCUGGCUGACCGUGACUGGAAAGUCAAUGGAUAAAGAACACAGAUGUAUCGUCCAACACAAGAAUAACAGAGGAGGUGUUGACCAAGAGAUUCUUUUUCCUUCAGUGAACAAAGUUGUCACCUCAACUGUCACUACUACUGAUUCUACAAAGGCUUUUCUAAAAGAUGAAAAGGUCACUGUUGCUGAUUCUAAAACAGCUUCCCCAACAGAGCAAAGUGAGGUCGCUGCUAUGAAUUCUACAAAAGCUUGUCUGAGAGAUGAAAGCAACACCCUGCAGCUGCAGCUCACCAGCACCUCUGCCUAUUACAUCUACCUCCUCCUCCUCCUCGUGAGUGCGGUCUACUUGGCCAUCAUCGCCUUCUGCCUGUUAAGGAGAACAGCAGUCUGUGGCAGUGGAAAGAGUUCAUAACAGAUGGUGGCACUGAAGACAACUUUUCUC